CCUACGGGGGGCUGCAGUGGGGAAUAUUGGACAAUGGGCGAAAGCCUGAUCCAGCCAUGCCGCGUGUGUGAAGAAGGCCUUCGGGUUGUAAAGCACUUUCAGUGGGGAAGAAAGCCUUGGGGCUAAUACCCUCGAGGAAGGACAUCACCCACAGAAGAAGCACCGGCUAACUCCGUGCCAGCAGCCGCGGUAAUACGGGAGGGUGCGAGCGUUAAUCGGAAUUACUGGGCGUAAAGCGCGCGUAGGCGGUCUGAUAAGCCGGUUGUGAAAGCCCCGGGCUCAACCUGGGAACGGCAUCCGGAACUGUCAGGCUAGAGUGCAGGAGAGGAAGGUAGAAUUCCCGGUGUAGCGGUGAAAUGCGUAGAGAUCGGGAGGAAUACCAGUGGCGAAGGCGGCCUUCUGGACUGACACUGACGCUGAGGUGCGAAAGCGUGGGUAGCAAACAGGAUUAGAUACCCCUGUAGUC
rnacentral:rRNA from 1 species